rnacentral:misc_RNA from 1 species
GAAAGCGCGAAACGUAAUGUGAAUUGCAGAAUUCAGUGAAUCAUCGAAUCUUUGAACGCAUCUUGCGCUCCUCGGCAUUCCGAGGAGCAUGCCUGUUUGAGUGUCGUGAAGUUAUCUCGGAGCCGCGCCUUCCGUUUCGGUGGGUGGCGGCUUUCGGAUCUGGACGUCUGCCGACGGCGAGGGUCUCGACCCCCGCGUAGGCUCGUCUUCAAACGCAUUAGCGGAACAGCCUCCGCCCCCUCGCGAGACGUGAUAAAACCCUUUGCGUCGGAAGAGGGGGGCGUUCGCCUUUCCGCUCAUCAGCCGUCUCCGUGACAAAGACCCGACCUCUGACCUCAAAUCAGGUAGGACUACCCGCUGAACUUAA